rnacentral:rRNA from 1 species
UGGGAAUUUUGGACGAAUUGGGCGAAAGCCUGAUCCAGCAAUGCCGCGUGUGUGAAGAAGGCCUUCGGGUUGUAAAGCACUUUUGUCCGGAAAGAAAUCCUUGGCUCUAAUACAGUCGGGGGAUGACGGUACCGGAAGAAUAAGCACCGGCUAACUACGUGCCAGCAGCCGCGGUAAUACGUAGGGUGCAAGCGUUAAUCGGAAUUACUGGGCGUAAAGCGUGCGCAGGCGGUCCGCUAAGACAGAUGUGAAAUCCCCGGGCUUAACCUGGGAACUGCAUUUGUGACUGGCGGGCUAGAGUAUGGCAGAGGGGGGUAGAAUUCCACGUGUAGCAGUGAAAUGCGUAGAGAUGUGGAGGAAUACCGAUGGCGAAGGCAGCCCCCUGGGCCCAAUACUGAGCUCAUGCACG